GGGCCCGUAGCUCAAUUGGUUAGAGCUGUCGACUCAUAAUCGACCGGUUGCCGGUUCAACUCCGGCCGGGCCCACCA
rnacentral:tRNA from 1 species